rnacentral:rRNA from 1 species
GACAGAGGAUGCAAGCGUUAUCCGGAAUGAUUGGGCGUAAAGCGUCUGUAGGUGGCUUUUUAAGUCCGCCGUCAAAUCCCAGGGCUCAACCCUGGACAGGCGGUGGAAACUACCAAGCUGGAGUACGGUAGGGGCAGAGGGAAUUUCCGGUGGAGCGGUGAAAUGCGCAGAUAUCAGGAGGAACACCGGUGGCGAAGGCGGGUCUCUGGGCAGUAACUGACGCUGGAGGAGCGAAAGCGUGGGGAGCGAACAGG